rnacentral:rRNA from 1 species
CCUACGGGAGGCAGCAGUGAGGAAUAUUGGUCAAUGGACGAGAGUCUGAACCAGCCAAGUAGCGUGAAGGAUGACUGCCCUAUGGGUUGUAAACUUCUUUUAUAAAGGAAUAAAAUGAGGCACGUGUGCCUUUUUGUAUGUACUUUAUGACUAAGGAUCGGCUAACUCCGUGCCAGCAGCCGCGGUAAUACGGAGGAUCCGAGCGUUAUCCGGAUUUAUUGGGUUUAAAGGGAGCGUAGAUGGUUUGUUAAGUCAGUUGUGAAAGUUUGCGGCUCAACCGUAAAAUUGCAAGUGAUACUGGCAGUCUUGAGUACAGUUGAGGUAGGCGGAAUUCGUGGUGUAGCGGUGAAAUGCUUAGAUAUCACGAAGAACCCCGAUUGCGAAGGCAGCUUACUAGACUGUGACUGACAUUGAUGCUCGAAAGUGUGGGUAUCAAACAGGAUUAGAUACCCGAGUAGUC